UAGAGUUUGAUCAUGGCUCAGAGCGAACGCUGGCGGCAGGCUUAACACAUGCAAGUCGAGCGGGCGUAGCAAUACGUCAGCGGCAGACGGGUGAGUAACGCGUGGGAACGUACCUUUUGGUUCGGAACAACACAGGGAAACUUGUGCUAAUACCGGAUAAGCCCUUACGGGGAAAGAUUUAUCGCCGAAAGAUCGGCCCGCGUCUGAUUAGCUAGUUGGUGGGGUAACGGCCCACCAAGGCGACGAUCAGUAGCUGGUCUGAGAGGAUGAUCAGCCACAUUGGGACUGAGACACGGCCCAAACUCCUACGGGAGGCAGCAGUGGGGAAUAUUGGACAAUGGGGGCAACCCUGAUCCAGCCAUGCCGCGUGAGUGAUGAAGGCCCUAGGGUUGUAAAGCUCUUUUGUGCGGGAAGAUAAUGACGGUACCGCAAGAAUAAGCCCCGGCUAACUUCGUGCCAGCCGCCGCGGUAAUUC
rnacentral:rRNA from 1 species